rnacentral:rRNA from 1 species
AAAACAUCGCUUAUAGAUUAAAAUUAUAAGUACUCUCUGCCCAAUGAUUGGUUUUUAAUGGCUGCAGUAUCUUGACUGUGCAAAGGUAGCGUAGUCACUAGGCUUUUAAUUGAAGUCUUGUAUGAAAGAGGCAAUGAGUUAUAUACUUUAUUUUUUUAAUACUUUGAAUUUAAUUUUUAAGUAAAAAAGCUUAAAUUUUUUUAUGGGACGAGAAGACCCUAUAGAAUUUUAUAUAAGAUUAAUUAUUUGUUUUAAUAGCUUAAUUUUUCAAUAUAUUUUUUUGGGGAGAAGGUGAAAAUUUUAAACUUUUAUUUUUUAUUGGACUAUAAUUAUAGGAUUAAUUUGUAUUUUAAUUUAAUAGCUUAUUUUUAGGAGUGCCUUGAAGUGACUAAAUUUAAGUUGUUAGGAGUUAAAAAAAUUAUUU